AUCAGGACCAGUGCGCGCGCACCUCAGCAUCUACCGAGCACGCGCACGGGGACGCGCGCCCGCGUGCACGCAAGCUGUGCAAACUUCCCCACGUCUUCAGCAUGUGAAAAAAAGGGGGAAGCCACGGGAAAAUAUACUGGAUCGCCUAUAAUGUCAGCGUUGAAAAAGGUGCUACCGAGCAUACUGCAGAAGCAUUGCUGUAUCUUGCCAGAUAGGAAGUCAGGUCUGAAACGGUGGCUGAUGAGGCUGAAGAGCAGAGAGAUUUAUUCAGGUACCUGCUCCACCCUUUCCCUGCUCCACCCUUUCCCUGCUCCACCCUUUCUCUUCUUUCUCUUACAUUUCUGUCCAGCUCAAGUGUUUCAGAGCCUCAGCAUAAACACACUUUACCUGAUUUAUGGCUCUGUCCUAAACACUGCAUUUCAGGGCUAUGUAGUGUCCCUACUAAAUCAGCAGCCAAUCAGUGUACAUAUAUAUAUAUAUAUAUAAUGUUUCUAACUUCUGUCUCUUGUGUUCUUUCGUAUUUUUUUCUUUCUUUCUUUCUUUUAAGAUUUUUUCUUUA